rnacentral:rRNA from 1 species
UACAGAGGGUGCAAGCGUUAAUCGGAAUUACUGGGCGUAAAGCGUGCGUAGACGGUCAUGUAAGUCGGGUGUGAAAGCCCCGGGCUCAACCUGGGAAUGGCAAUGGAUACUGGCAAGCUAGAGUGCGGUAGAGGGUAGUGGAAUUCCCGGUGUAGCGGUGAAAUGCGUAGAGAUCGGGAGGAACACCAGUGGCGAAGGCGGCUACCUGGACCAGCACUGACACUGAGGCACGAAAGCGUGGGGAGCAAACAGG